GAUCAAGUAUGGUGUAGUGGAUUAAGCAUUGGACUACGACUCCGGAGAGCAGGGUUCGAUUCCCUGCUUAGCCC
rnacentral:tRNA from 1 species